AUUGAACGCUGGCGGCAUGCCUUACACAUGCAAGUCGAACGGCAGCGGGGACUUCGGUCCGCCGGCGAGUGGCGAACGGGUGAGUAAUGUAUCGGAACGUACCAUUCAGUGGGGGAUAACUAUCCGAAAGGAUAGCUAAUACCGCAUAUUCUGUGAGCAGGAAAGCAGGGGAUCGCAAGACCUCGCGCUGAUUGAGCGGCCGAUAUCAGAUUAGCUAGUUGGUGAGGUAACGGCUCACCAAGGCUACGAUCUGUAGCGGGUCUGAGAGGAUGAUCCGCCACACUGGGACUGAGACACGGCCCAGACUCCUACGGGAGGCGGCAGUGGGGAAUUUUGGACAAUGGGCGCAAGCCUGAUCCAGCCAUGCCGCGUGAGUGAAGAAGGCCUUCGGGUUGUAAAGCUCUUUCGGCCGGGAAGAAAUCGCAUCAGCUAAUACCUGGUGUGGAUGACGGUACCGGAAUAAGAAGCACCGGCUAACUACGUGCCAGCCGCCGCCGUAACAC
rnacentral:rRNA from 1 species